rnacentral:rRNA from 1 species
AACACAUGCAAGUCGAACGGACAAUUAUUUAUAGCCUCUGGCUAUAGGAAAUUGUUAGUGGCAGACGGGUGAGUAAUGCGUAGGAAUCUACCUAGUAGUACGGAAUAGCCAUUAGAAAUGGUGGGUAAUACUGUAUAAUCCCCGAGGGGGAAAGAUUUAUCGCUAUUAGAUGAGCCUACGUUAGAUUAGCUAGUUGGUGAGGUAAUGGCUUACCAAGGCUAUGAUCUAUAGCUGGUCUGAGAGGACGAUCAGCCACACUGGAACUGAGAUACGGUCCAGACUCCUACGGGAGGCAGCAGUGGGGAAUAUUGGACAAUGGGCGAAAGCCUGAUCCAGCUAUGCCGCGUGAGUGAAGAAGGCCUUCGGGUUGUAAAACUCUUUCAAUAGGGAAGAUAAUGACGGUACCUAUAGAAGAAGUCCCGGCAAACUCUGUGCCAGCAGCCG